UGAAUACUCCCUCCGUCCUAAAAUUCUUUUCUUAAGUUUGUCUAGAAAUGGAGAUGUAUCUAAAUACUAAACCAUGACUAGAUACGUUUAUAUCUAAACAAAUUUAAGACAAGAAUUUUGGGACCGAAGGAGUAGUAG
rfam:Hordeum vulgare subsp. vulgare, WGS project CAJW01000000 data, contig: morex_contig_48979